ensembl:snoRNA SNORD24 Small nucleolar RNA SNORD24
UGCAGAUGAUGUCACUAAUAUUUGCUAUCUUAACCAUAAUGCAGACAAUCUUCCACCAAGAUCGCUGAUGCA